rnacentral:rRNA from 1 species
UACGUAGGGUGCGAGCGUUAAUCGGAAUUACUGGGCGUAAAGCGUGCGCAGGCGGUUUUCCAAGACAGAUGUGAAAUCCCCGGGCUCAACCUGGGAAUGGCAUUUGUGACUGGAAGGCUAGAGUGUGUCAGAGGGGGGUAGAAUUCCACGUGUAGCAGUGAAAUGCGUAGAGAUGUGGAGGAAUACCGAUGGCGAAGGCAGCCCCCUGGGAUAACACUGACGCUCAUGCACGAAAGUGUGGGGAGCAAACAGG